rnacentral:pre_miRNA from 1 species
UCUUCAUUUCACACGCUCUCCCGGUCAGAGAGGCGAGAGAGUGUGUGAAAUGAAGAGA